CUCGCUGUGAAGAUGCAGUGUACCCGCGGCAAGACGGAAAGACCCCGUGAACCUUUACUAUAGCUUGACACUGAACAUUGAGCCUUGAUGUGUAGGAUAGGUGGGAGGCUUUGAAGUGUGGACGCCAGUCUGCAUGGAGCCGGCCUUGAAAUACCACCCUUUAAUGUUUGAUGUUCUAACGUGGACCCGUGAUCCGGGUUGCGGACAGUGUCUGGUGGGUAGUUUGACUGGGGCGGUCUCCUCCUAAAGAGUAACGGAGGAGCACGAAGGUUGGCUAAUCCUGGUCGGACAUCAGGAGGUUAGUGCAAUGGCAUAAGCCAGCUUGACUGCGAGCGUGACGGCGCGAGCAGGUGCGAAAGCAGGUCAUAGUGAUCCGGUGGUUCUGAAUGGAAGGGCCAUCGCUCAACGGAUAAAAGGUACUCCGGGGAUAACAGGCUGAUACCGCCCAAGAGUUCAUAUCGACGGCGGUGUUUGGCACCUCGAUGUCGGCUCAUCACAUCCUGGGGCUGAAGUAGGUCCCAAGGGUAUGGCUGUUCGCCAUUUAAAGUGGUACGCGAGCUGGGUUUAGAACGUCGUGAGACAGUUC
rnacentral:rRNA from 1 species